GACGAACGCUGGCGGCGUGCUUAACACAUGCAAGUCGAACGGAAAGGCCCUGCUUUUGUGGGGUGCUCGAGUGGCGAACGGGUGAGUAACACGUGAGUAACCUGCCCUUGACUUUGGGAUAACUUCAGGAAACUGGGGCUAAUACCGGAUAGGAGCUCCUGCUGCAUGGUGUGGGUUGGAAAGUUUCGGCGGUUGGGGAUGGACUCGCGGCUUAUCAGCUUGUUGGUGGGGUAGUGGCUUACCAAGGCUUUGCCGGGUAGCCGGCCUGAGAGGGUGACCGGCCACAUUGGGACUGAGAUACGGCCCAGACUCCUACGGGAGGCAGCAGUGGGGAAUAUUGCACAAUGGGCGGAAGCCUGAUGCAGCAACGCCGCGUGCGGGAUGACGGCCUUCGGGUUGUAAACCGCUUUCGCCUGUGACGAAGCGUGAGUGACGGUAAUGGGUAAAGAAGCACCGGCUAACUACGUG
rnacentral:rRNA from 1 species